rnacentral:lncRNA from 1 species
AGAGUUUCAGGCUUGUUUUUGCAAAAAUGAGCUAGAAUUUGUAGUUUUUCUAGGUGGCUCCCAAUUUUGGCUGUAGUGUUUUCAUGCACGUGGAUGAGAGCAAGUUCUUUGUUGUUUUUCUCCGGUGUUGCAGAGGCUUGGGGAGGAAAAGGUGUAUAUGUGCUGUUGUCUAGAAUCGGCCCAUAUCAAAUCUUUUAUCAGGAUCUCCACAGAACUGGUCCAAAUAUGGAGCUGGAAAGUGAGACCAUCAAUGCCUACAUGUUCCAUCUGGUGCAGAAUUUUAAUAGGCAGUCAACCGAGCAAACCUUCUACAUUGACACCUUUGAAAUUACUGGCAUUUGGGGGAGCAAGAAAUCAAAACUUACGAUUGAUCCAAUGAUGUACAAGUACAUUAUUGGCAUCAUCAAUGAACACAACCACUGGACUGUGACGGUUAUGCUGCCAUCCAAAAAGAGGGCUCUGUUCCUCGACCCAAUGUGGGAAAAGUUCCAGAAAGAUAAAUAGAUGCCUGGGGGUGACAAGAUCAUUCCUGAGAGAGAAGGGGUGUAAUAUCUCCAGAUGGGCGUGUGGUACCCUUCCUCACCCAUGCCAACAAGAUGUUACUUCUUGUGGGGUCUUUGCCUUGAAAUUUGCUGAAUGUGUUCUGAAGGAGAAGUCGAUUGUCUUUUCAAAUACGGACAAAGAUGAUAACAUCAUGAGAGAAGAAAUAGCAGUCACUCUCCUCCAAAACACUGAUGACCUGAGCCAACUGUACCACUUCUGUGGGGAGGUGGACAAUAAUGAGGAAGACACUAACUGGAUUUCUUGUGACCGCUGCCCACGAUGGUUCCACCAGUCCUGUAUGAAAACCAUCCCAUCAUUGGAGGAUUAUGUCUGCGCUGCCUGUCAGAACUAGGUUAAGUUUGAGUUCCAGGCGACGGUAUCACCUGGAAAACUUUCCAUAAAAAGUGGACUAAAUGUUCAGUCGAGC